rnacentral:rRNA from 1 species
GAUGAACGCUAGCGGCAGGCCUAAUACAUGCAAGUCGAACGGCAGCGGACCUUCGGGUGCCGGUGAGUGGCGAACGGGUGAGUAAUAUAUCGGAACGUACCUUUCAGUGGGGGAUAACGUAGCGAAAGUUACGCUAAUACCGCAUAUUCUGUGAGCAGGAAAGCAGGGGAUCGCAAGACCUUGCGCUGAUUGAGCGGCCGAUAUCAGAUUAGCUAGUUGGUGAGGUAAAGGCUCACCAAGGCGACGAUCUGUAGCGGGUCUGAGAGGAUGAUCCGCCACACUGGAACUGAGACACGGUCCAGACUCCUACGGGAGGCAGCAGUGGGGAAUAUUGGACAAUGGGGGCGAACCCUGAUCCAGCCAUGCCGCGUGUGUGAAGAAGGCCUUCGGUUGGUAAGAC